rnacentral:misc_RNA from 1 species
UUUCCGUAGGUGGACCUGCGGAAGGAUCAUCAACAAAACAAAAUUCAAAAAAAACACCAAUUUCAUUCCAAAAUUUUAUUGGAAUGUUUUUUAAUGGGGAUGUGGAGAUUAAUUAAAAAAAAUUUCUCAUGCCCCAUCAUUUAAAAACUAAACUCCUAAAAUUAAAUUAAAAGAUUAUUCCAAAAAAUUUUAAAAUAUAAAAAUAGAGACAACUUUUAACAAUGGAUCUCUUGGCUCUC